UGGGGAAUUUUGGACAAUGGGCGAAAGCCUGAUCCAGCAAUGCCGCGUGUGUGAAGAAGGCCUUCGGGUUGUAAAGCACUUUUGUCCGGAAAGAAAUCCUUGGCUCUAAUACAGUCGGGGGAUGACGGUACCGGAAGAAUAAGCACCGGCUAACUACGUGCCAGCAGCCGCGGUAAUACGUAGGGUGCAAGCGUUAAUCGGAAUUACUGGGCGUAAAGCGUGCGCAGGCGGUUUGCUAAGACCGAUGUGAAAUCCCCGGGCUCAACCUGGGAACUGCAUUGGUGACUGGCAGGCUAGAGUAUGGCAGAGGGGGGUAGAAUUCCACGUGUAGCAGUGAAAUGCGUAGAGAUGUGGAGGAAUACCGAUGGCGAAGGCAGCCCCCUGGGCCAAUACUGACGCUCAUGCACGAAAGCGUGGGGGAGCAAAACAGGAUUAGAUACCCUGGUAGUCCACGCCCUAAACGAUGUCAACUAGUUGUUGGGGAUUCAUUUCCUUAGUAACGUAGCUAACGCGUGAAGUUGACCGCCUGGGGAGUACGGUCGCAAGAUUAAAACUUAAAGGAAUUGACGGGGUCAUAGCUGUUUCCU
rnacentral:rRNA from 1 species